rnacentral:rRNA from 1 species
UACGAAGGGUGCAAGCGUUACUCGGAAUUACUGGGCGUAAAGGGCGCGUAGGCGGACAGUUAAGUCAGAGGUGAAAGCCCAGGGCUCAACCCUGGAAUUGCCUUUGAUACUGGCUGUCUUGAGUACGGGAGAGGUGAGUGGAACUCCGAGUGUAGAGGUGAAAUUCGUAGAUAUUCGGAAGAACACCAGUGGCGAAGGCGACUCACUGGCCCGUUACUGACGCUGAGGCGCGAAAGCGUGGGGAGCAAACAGG